GAUGAACGCUGGCGGCGUGCCUAAUACAUGCAAGUCGAGCGAACAGACGAGGAGCUUGCUCCUCUGACGUUAGCGGCGGACGGGUGAGUAAAACGUGGAUAACCUACCUAUAAGACUGGGAUAACUUCGGGAAACCGGAGCUAAUACCGGAUAAUAUAUUGAACCGCAUGGUUCAAUAGUGAAAGACGGUUUUGCUGUCACUUAUAGAUGGAUCCGCGCCGCAUUAGCUAGUUGGUAAGGUAACGGCUUACCAAGGCGACGAUGCGUAGCCGACCAGAGAGGGUGAUCGGCCACACUGGAACUGAGACACGGUCCAGACUCCUACGGGAGGCAGCAGUAGGGAAUCUUCCGCAAUGGGCGAAAGCCUGACGGAGCAACGCCGCGUGAGUGAUGAAGGUCUUCGGAUCGUAAAACUCUGUUAUUAGGGAAGAACAAAUGUGUAAGUAACUAUACACGUCUUGACGGUACCUAAUCAGAAAGCCACGGCUAACUACGUG
rnacentral:rRNA from 1 species